rnacentral:lncRNA from 1 species
GUCUCCUUUUCUAUAUUCAUUUAUGUACACUGAUCAGCUCAUUCUUUUCAAAUGCCAGGGAUGUAUCGCUCACUAGAGGAACUUCAUUACCUAGCAGUCUUUAAUGUAAAAGGCAAACCUUUCCACUAAUGAGCAGUUUGUCUAGUGUUCUUAACCUUAUCAGCAGCUCCUCAAGUGAUAAAGGCUUAACUAUUAUGCACCGAAAGGUGUUGAUAAUUCUCAAUCUUCAUGCAGAAAAUGGCUCUUUUGUCACUUCUUAGAGUCCACUGUUAAACUUAGCACACUACUUACAAAUUACCCUUCCUGUUCUGCAAAGCCAUCAGCUGGUGGGCUGGCAGCAGGUGGAGCCUCCUCUUGUCAGGACAAGAAUGAUACCUGCUGCUUAAUAGAAAAAAAAUCAUCUGCAGAUUAAUGAUAUAGACCUGUCCCAAGAAAUGGACCGAGUUUAAAGACAAGGUAGAGUGAAAAAUAUUAAAACCCACACACAAACAGGGAAAAUGAGAUUGAAUAUUCAAGACUUUACAAAUAGAAUUGAAGCCCACAGUUUUUAUCAACUCGAACAUUAGUACAUGGUGACUGGAAUUACUUUACUCCUUUGCUACUAGGAUUCCCUAACCACAGAGGACCCUAUAAAUCGGGCACACAGCUUAUAGGGCCUUUCCACCAGCUUCUGAAAUUGAAGAAUGCAGGACAACAUUGUCUCCAUGUUGCUGCAAGAGAAACAAUAAAAGCUUGAUCAGCUGAAUGCUUAAAUAUGGCUGAAUGUUUGAUGAGAUGAAGAUGUAAUUUUGUCUAUGUUCCCUAAGGAUCUGGAUUAAAUAUGACUACAGGGCCUAAUCAAAUAGCUAGUCACUGAACAACGGUCCCAACUGCAUUUUUUAUUCUAGGCAUGCCUUUCUUCCCCCCCUCUCCUCCAAGUACAUUACUUAUUCACUGGUUUGUCAGCAGUGUGCAUUAUUAGCGCUUGAGAGAUAAAACUUUAAGUGUUGCUCCCAAUUAGCACAACAGUGACCACGCACCAUGCUCUGUGCUUAAUGCCUGCUCUCAGAGAGGAGCUGGUUUUGAAGGUCUGAGGUGGAGGAGAAAAAAAAUGAAACAGCUUAAGCAUUCAUUUUGAGUGGAGAGACAGCUCCUAUUAACAUUUAACAGCAUUUGUGCAACUUGGUGCGGAGGUUAUGAUGCAAAUGAGGAGGAAUUAAAAGUGGCCAGGGGUUUGUCAUUGAUGGAUUGCAGUCUGGCGGUGUUCACACUUCUGCCGUGUCCAUCAGAAGCGAUUACUGUGUAAUUAAACCUUAUUUCUCUACUCUUCAGUGCAUAAUUACUUUGUGAAUGUAACCAUCAUCUAAAAAAGCUACCAAAAUGCUUUAGCAUUUAGUCUAGCAGUCAUUUCCCUAGCUUGUGUCAGAUAUAACCAUCAGACAGUGCAAAAGAACUGUCACUUUUAAUAAGAGGCAAAAAAUUAAAUGAAACAGUAUGCUUAUUACAGGAAAAUUAGGCGUUCAAGUGGUAGAGUCCUUUUCUGCUAUUUGCAUAAUUUAUUCUUUUUUGUCCCUCACACCAGAAGCUUCAGGCAAUUUUCUUCACAUUUAAAUAGAUCGCACAUUUAAGGCUACUUAAGGAAAAUUAUCACUUUGCAUAUUUUAAUUGUUGUAAAGAAAGUGAAUAGAAGAGGUCUGCAGCUUGGACUCUUGAGUCAGUCAGAUGCUCAACUGUCUGAUUCUGGAGCUCCCCACUGCUGCACUAGAGAUAACCCUACAGUUCACAGCCAUCCACUUGCAUUUCAUCAGCAUGCAAAUGCAGCUCCAAGCACUACAAUAAGUGGAUCUUUGAUAUUUACAAACUAGCCACUAAUAACUAAAACAUAAUUUGUUUGACAUAACUUUAGAUUUUCUUAUCACUGUGCCUUUUUUUUUUUCUUUUUAAGAGAAAAACCGGGUAAGUCCUUUAGGUUUAGAAAAACUAAGAGAUAGUCCACUCAAACUGAUAAUGUUCUACAGGUUUUAGAAAUAUUCUUUGUUGCAAAAUCAUGUCAGUCCCUUUAUUUUGGCAAGAUAGUCAACUUUUCGAGUUCUUUCAAUUUGGACUCACCUUUAAUCAAAUUAAAAAUUCAAAUAUAAAUAUUACAAUAAAAACUCUCUCAUAAGAAUUUUAUCAGGUUGAUGGUGUUUCAAAUAAAUGAUUCAUUUACCAUGGGAAGGAUGUAAUGUUUCAGUAUGUUUUGUGUUGUAAUUCAACAAGAUGAGAUCAACAGCACAGGGCAUCCCAGAGCAAAAGCUAUAAAUAGGCUAAUGCCCUUACAAACGGUUAAUUAUGAAUUUGGUGAAAAAGUUAAAAGGAGAUUCCAAUGAAAACUUUGAUCAAAACAUACUUGGCUUAUUUAUUGUACUUAAGUGGGUUAAAAAAACCUCAGUGGUAUAAUUUGCUUAGUUUUCACUAUCAAUUAAAAAAAAAUUCCAAAGAGAAUACUGAAGUCUUCAUUUUGACAAGACAGCGAUGCUUUAAAGUAUAUUAAAAUGUGAAUUUGAUUAUCUCAGCAACACUUUUGUUUAAUUACAAACAAUUAUAUGUUCCCUUUGGCUACUGGUCAUUUUCAUUUACAAUACUGUUGUCCUCCUUAAGUGCAAAUUCUAAAUACUUAUGAAUGUCUAAGGGACUACAGUUAUCACACAUUUGUAAAUACUAAGCAAACAUUUGUCUUUAAAAGUAAGUGAAGUAGGUCUUAGUUUACAAAAAUAUAAGUACAUGGCAAAGUGAUAUAAUACAGCACUUUAUAGAGGAUGAUGACAAAAAGUUAGGGUUGGAUAUGAACUUGUAAUUUAAAAAGAGACCUACCAUCAUUUUGACUUAAUGUGACUUUUAGUAUAAUCAUUUUCUUUAAAAUCAGAGUCCCUGCUGUGGCGCAAUGGAUGGGCGGCAUCUCUGCAGUGCCAGUAAGCAGGUUUGAUCCCUGCCUGGCAUAGUGGGUUAAAGAAUUUGGUGUUACCACAGCUGCUGCAUAGGUUGCAACUGUGG